GGAGAGGUGGCCGAGUGGCCGAAGGCGCUCCCCUGCUAAGGGAGUAGGCGGCGUGAAACCGUCUCGAGGGUUCGAAUCCCUUCCUCUCCGCCA
rnacentral:tRNA from 1 species